UACGUAGGGUGCAAGCGUUGUCCGGAAUUAUUGGGCGUAAAGCGCUCGCAGGUGGUUUCUUAAGUCUGAUGUGAAAGCCCACGGCUCAACCGUGGAGGGUCAUUGGAAACUGGGGAACUUGAGUGCAGGAGAGAAGAGUGGAAUUCCACGUGUAGCGGUGAAAUGCGUAGAGAUGUGGAGGAACACCAGUGGCGAAGGCGACUCUUUGGCCUGUAACUGACACUGAGGCGCGAAAGCGUGGGGAGCAAACAGG
rnacentral:rRNA from 1 species